rnacentral:tmRNA from 1 species
AGUUUUGAAAGACUUUUUGUUUUCUCCUAUAAUAUAAGUGCUGGUUUUCCAGCUAUGACGCUAAACGUUGGUGCGGAAUAGACGUUGUGGACCCGGGGGCAGUACCCGGCGGCUCCACCACUUGCGAAGGGAUUUUCUUCUUCUCAGGCGGCGGGGCCGACACAGGAUCGACACGCGCAGUAAAGGUGCUUUUACGGUGUCCGGCAUGAUAACCGCCGUUAUCGGGUCAAUAUCAUAAAUGCAAACGAUAACUUUGCGUUCGUAGCCGCUAACGACAACUCUGUUGUUGAAGGUGAAGGUCGUAUCGCUGCUUAAUUGAGCAGUUUCGACGCUACAUUGAAUUCCUGAUGGUUUAACGACCUCGGGUGGGGCGUGCCGGCUGCCUCGCAACAGAAGUGCCGGCAUU